rnacentral:lncRNA from 14 species
GGGGCUUCACUCGGAGCCUUGGUUAUUAGCUCCCAGGUCUGGGUGCCUGCAGCCGGCGUGAGCAGCUUGUACCUAGCGCGGGUCUGCAGUGACAGUGCAGCGGAGGGAGGCUGGGCGCGGGCUCAAGCCAGGACCCGGGACACACGAGUCAUGACGGACACCAGCCACAAGAAGGAGGGCUUCAAGAAAUGUAGGAGCGCCACUUUCAGCAUCGACGGGUACAGCUUCACCAUCGGAUCUAAGUCACAGAACUGUCUGUGGAACUCCCUCAUUGAUGGCCUCACUGGGAAUGUUAAGGAGAAGCCACGGCCAACAAUUGUCCAGGACACCCGACCCCCAGAAGAAAUUCUGGCAGAUGAAUUGCCACAACUGGAUAGCCCAGAAGCUUUGGUGAAGACAUCCUUCAGGUUUGGUGGCUGAGAAUCCAGUUUGUUCCUUCUUAUUGGUUUUGAGAGCUAUCUCAGUCCGUUUGGAUGCCUACUCAGGGGGCAGCAAAUGACUGUUUCUCUGUACUGUAUGAAUUAGCAAUGAUGAAAGAUUUUUGAAAUGAUUCCUAACUGGACUCCCAUGUAGCUUUCCCAAAUGUUGUAAAUAUCAAGUCUCUGGUUUAUUUCUGUUGGUAGUUAAAUGGUAUUGGCAUUUCAGUGCUGAGGUUCAGUACUCAGUGGUAUCAGCAACUUGAAUUGGGUGAAUGCUGCUUUUGCUCCAAGGGGCAAUAAUGCAUUUGGGUAAGCUCAUGUACUGGGAUUCAUCCAGCCCUUUGCCUUUAUUGUCUCUUGCUUGGGGGAGGUUUCUACUUGUGAGAGACAUAAGCUCUAUCACUGAGGUAAAUGAACACAGUCUUGUGUUGUUCUCCAGAUGGCUGACUGCUCUACUCCUGGUCCCUUAGUCUGGUAUCUCCCUGGAAAGGACUUUUUCAUUCUUUUUUAACUGUAUGCUUCAUUUUCACUACAGCUCUAUCCAUUACCUUCUUAUCCAUUAUAAUCAAAGUUAAUCUGGGUGUGAACAUGUUGCAACAUCCAGUGCCGUUUAUAUCAGAAAUUGAGAUUUCAUAAUUCUUCCAAUUUCUGUUUCUCCCUUCCUUUCUGCUACAGUAACUGGUCCUACUCUUAUGAUCACCAUGAACUGUUCUAUUCUCCAAAUAGCCCAUGUAACAUAUAAAUUUCACUCUAGGCAACUCUUUGACCCCAUGAAAUGAUUUUUAAAUGAGCUAUCUUUUGCAUAGAGGAAGUGUGUAAUAGCUUAGUUAAAACCAUUUCAUUGUGUGCAGGUUCUUAUAUAGACUGAAUUAUAGAUGAGUCUGAACAGAAGUGUGGAUAGGAGUUUUGUUUGGAUUUCUUUAUGCAACGUGAUAGCUACAUUGGGGAGACAAGUACAAUAUCAAAUAUUUUCUCAUUCCCAUAAAGGGGUUAGUUAUUGCAUCCUGAGGUUUUUGAAAUAAAGAUAAGCUCUCUCUGUGAACCUGCAUUUUUCUGCAAAUGACAGCAGGAAAGUAUGGCUGUUGACUGGCUCUCUUAGUUUGUGUAAUCCUGCCCUGGAGCCUGACUCCUCAUAUACAGUGUAUCCAUAACCAGUUCCUCUGUCUGAAAAGCGGUCCUUUAUCAUUGCCAACCAAAGGGUUACUCUCACUGGGCCGUCUGAUUUGUGUGUUCAUCUACAUCAUCAUUACCCAUUCUUAUAAUUCUUUGACCUUUUAAAAAGAAAGUGUAUAAUGAUCGAA